rnacentral:rRNA from 1 species
UACGUAGGGUCCGAGCGUUGUCCGGAAUUAUUGGGCGUAAAGAGCUCGUAGGCGGUUUGUCGCGUCUGCUGUGAAAGCCCGAGGCUCAACCUCGGGCCUGCAGUGGGUACGGGCAGACUGGAGUGCGGUAGGGGAGAAUGGAAUUCCUGGUGUAGCGGUGGAAUGCGCAGAUAUCAGGAGGAACACCGAUGGCGAAGGCAGUUCUCUGGGCCGUAACUGACGCUGAGGAGCGAAAGCGUGGGGAGCGAACAGG